GGUCGCUCUCUGCAAUUUUCUCCCUUAGCAUAUUACGUUCUUCUUUUCCUGCAAUUCUCUGCCUUCGCAUAUUGCGUUCUUCUUCAUGCUUCCACUUCCACGUCUGUUUUAGCAGAGCCUUUCUCUGAUAUCAGAAUUAUACUCUGGCAUCACAGCUAGUCUCUAAUACCUUAUCUGUUUGCGUGAAUUAAGGAGAAACUUAGAGUUUGAUUCAACGAGUUUCUUAGUUUUUUUGUGAUCGCUUUCGAUAGGCGUUGCGUUCUUCGCUUGGGAAUUUAGUGACCCAGAAGAGCGCGUCAACGGAAGCGUAGAGUGAAUUUUUCAAUCCGAUGGGGUUGCGAUUUCAGAGUUCUCUGAAAGAGCAUUUUCGAUCCGAUGGGUCGAGCUGUUUCGUGUCUUUUCCAUCGAUCCAUUGGGUUGGAAAAUUUUUCAGAUUUCUAUUGCAGAUUACGAAAGAAAAUAGUAUCUCGGGCUUUCUUGAUUUGAUACGGUGUUGUUGCUUCUUACUGGUGAACUCUCUUAAAGAACACUGGGAGAUGUUCAUGUUUCCGAAGCAUAGAUAAACCUGGCAAGAAUUAAACAGCUCUGUGCAAAUCUAUCAUUGCACAGUCGUUACCUGUCUCCUUGUACAUUUCCUUCAAUUAUGUUCCGAAAUUUGUGUUUUUUUCGGUAGAUUAUGUGUUGGUUUUGAAUCCAUUUGUGUUUCUACCUUUGAUUUUCUAUAAAGUUUUGGUCUUGCAUGUUUAUUUUCCGUAAUUAACGUUUAAGUUCGUGUUUACUGAAAGUAUGUGUUGUGUUUUAGUUAUGAAAGCAUUUAGUUUACUACCGUGAAAUCAGAGAUGGUAACGGUAACCAACAUGGAGCGUUGCAGUAGAACAGAACUGAAAUCAUUAUGGAAUCUCAGUCUCUGUUCCUGGAACUGAAUCAUGAUUGUGUCAGGCUUUAGCCAUCUCGGUGUCUUGGUGGAAGCUCACGUGAUCUUGUUGUGCAUGCUCUAUUGCCAAGGGAGAGCAUCUGGGUUUGGUCGGUGAAGGUUUCAGGCUUUGUUCGAGACUUGGAGUACUUUUUGUGAUGGGGUCAGGACACAUUUCACAUUUGCGGGUAACUGAUUCAACAGAAUGCGCCAGCAGAUCGAACGCUCAAUAUGUGGAUCGCGUUCUGGUUCGUGGCGGUUCCUUGCUGGUCAAGCAUCGGCCUGUCGUUGACCGCUGCCUCAUCUUCCCGAACCUUUGCUCUCCUGUCGUGGGAGAAUGUACUGUUCCUAGAAGUUAGCUAGCUCACUUGAACUGAAGAUGCAUGGAAUUGUCUGAAGCUUAGGCUUCAAGGCAGCUCUUUAGGAGUGUGGCCCAAUUCUGUAUCGGCUUAUUCCAGGCCCAAUUCUAUUCGACCCAGCCUUAUAAAAUGUUUCUUUCACCUUUAUUAA